CUCCUCAACACCGGCGGUCUUCCACUGGGGUGCCAAGCACUUUCACUCUCCUAAUUUACCCUUGCCUGAGCGAGGCGCGGGUUUGGAGAACCCUGCCUCCUCUCUCGCGUUAGCAUCAGAGGACCCAGAUUUAGAAUCAAUGAGUGAUCUCCAAGAGAUGCCAAUUAGCCAGAAGAAAAACAGACCCAGAGAACAAUAGGAACAGCAAGGAGAGUGCUCUGGACAUGGUGUGACUGCACAAGUGAGACUGACGACCACCUGCGUCCCAUCGCAGCUGUGCGGGGCAGACACGUCCAUCUCUCCCAGAGUCCACCCAGGGUGACAAGGAGGCUGCCGCCUUUUCUUUCCAGGCUGUCACUUUCUCCGUGACCCACUGUGCUUUGCCACCCUCCCGUGGCACUUAACCAGCUCACACUUCGGAAAAAGUGGGUUCUAG